rnacentral:rRNA from 1 species
GUGCCAGCCGCCGCGUAAUUCCAGCUCCAAUAGCGUAUAUUAAAGUUGUUGUGGUUAAAAAGCUCGUAGUUGAACCUUGGGCCUGGCUGGCCGGUCCGCCUCACCGCGUGCACUGGUCCGGCCGGGCCUUUCCCUCUGUGGAACCCCAUACCCUUCACUGGGCGUGGCGGGGAAACAGGACAUUUACUUUGAAAAAAUUAGAGUGCUCCAGGCAGGCCUAUGCUCGAAUACAUUAGCAUGGAAUAAUAAAAUAGGACGCGCGGUUCUAUUUUGUUGGUUUAUAGGACCGCCGUAAUGAUUAAUAGGGACAGUCGGGGGCAUCAGUAUUCAACUGUCAGAGGUGAAAUUCUUGGAUCAGUUGAAGACUAACUACUGCGAAAGCAUUUGCCAAGGAUGUUUUCAUUAAUCAGGAACGAAAGUUAGGGGAUCGAAGACGAUCAGAUACCGUCGUAGUCUUAACCAUAAACUAUGCCGACUAGGGAUCGGACGGUGUUAUUCAUGACCCGUUCGGCACCUUUACGAGAAAUCAAAGUGCUUGGGCUCCAGGGGGAGUAUGGUCGCAAGGCUGAAACUUAAAGAAAUUGACGGAAGGGCACCACCAGGGGUGCAGCCUUGCGGCUUUAAAUUUGACUCAACACGGGGAAACUCGCCAGGUCCAGACACAAUAAGGGAUUGACAGAUUGAGAGCUCUUUUCUUGAUUUUGGUGGGUGGUGGUGCAUGGCCGGAUCUUAGUUGGUGGGGUGGACUUGUCUGCUUACUUGCGAUAACGAACGGAGACCGUAAUCUUGCUAAAUAGGCCCGGCAUUGCUCCGGGCAGUGGCGCUGGGCUUUCUUUG